rnacentral:lncRNA from 1 species
UCCACAGUACCAGUCUCACAACAACAUCAUGUCCCUGACAUGGAAUCUCAACUCAAGCCACUCCGGAACGCGGGGCUUGGGGGGCGCGACCCCCGCAAGCAUGUACGAAAGAGCAUAAUGGCAUGCUAGCUAUAGUCCAGGGUACAAAUAUCUCAACAGCAUCAUGUCUCUGACAUGGAAUCUCAACUCGACCCAAGGUCGGCACUGUAGUACCCAAUCAUAAGUCACUAUCAACAACUUGUUGACAAGAUUCUAACAGUCGUUAAUAUAACUUGACAAGUUAAAGCUUUACAUCACACUAGUGAUUCUAUCAGGCUAUACCUGGUCAGUCACUCACAAUCUCUCACUACUCCUUACACAUAAGGAAAGUGGUUUUCUAAGGUUCUAUUCAUAGACUCAUGGCACAUAUCCUGUAGUCCAAUAUAAAUCUCUACUUGACUAUACAAGUACGUUAUCAUAUCCAAAUCUAGUUAUUUACUAGAUUAUAUUCAGUUGAAUAAUCAUUCAAGUUAUGCCAUCAUAUAAAAGUCUAGUUACUUACUAGAACAUAUACCAUAAUACAAGUCUAUCAUGUGAAAGUAGAACUAACAAGGUAAUGCAAGCAAGUAAAACAAACGAUAACACACUCUUCACAUGAUCUCUAUGCCAUUCAUUCUACAAUUGGAAAUGCAUAUGCCAAACAAAGGCCUUUACCUGAUCUUUCAGAGUAUAGCCAUUAUACUUGCUAUAUAACAUUGCAUAGCUCAAUCCUAAAUACAUCAAUCUCUUUGUUGUUCAACAGAAUUAAUUAGUCCCUUCACGAACUUAUAAUUAUAUCCUCUUGGAUAACAUCAAGCUAAAAUUGCAUCUGCAAGCUACUAGUAUCAUGAACACGUAGUACUUUAACAGGUAACCAUGUAAAGUGAACAAGUCAUGAAUCUUUCAUUACUGUUUAAAGAUGCUAUCAUAUCCAAUAUGGUCUACCCAUCAAUGCAUGUCGUAAUGCCUUACACUAUACAUAUAUUCACAUGAAUAUGGAAUAACUUCAACUCAGAUGUCAAAGGAGACAUAGAGGAAAAUUCACCCAUUUCGGGAAGGUCAGACCCACCUAUCACCAAGCCCAAUCCAGCCAAUAGAAGUCUUGAAACUCAGCUCAGCGGAGCCCCAACUCUGCUGAAAACGAAACACGGAAGGCGCAUCAAACUACGACCGAAAUGUCCAAUUUCGGCACACAUUGUUCUUAGUACAAAGUAAUAGCUUGACUCCCUGUUUUGGUUUCAGUUAAUACCUCAAGUUAAGCUCCUAAAAGCCUUCACGCAUCAGCCGGAGAUAAUCCGAAAGUCCGUCGCAAGCCCGCUGCGAACAAUUUCCAAAACGGCAUCAUAGUCGUCAAAUAUUAAUAGAUAUAGUCGGAAUCUUGCAAAUUCAGUUUCCUCACAGCAAUUUCAGCUUACCCAUAGUUGGAACACCUUUUAACUAGUCCCCAAGGUCACCAAUUAAGCUUAAAUUAAUCCGCAAACCUGCUGCGAAGAGAACAAUCCAAACUGCAUCAAUUCGCACUAAUAAACUUCAUAUAGUUUCGAAAGUACAUCAUAACUAACAAAUUACCUUUGUCCAACUUUGGAGCAGCUUAUCCCUGGUCUAGGAUGGUUCAAUCACAGCUAAAUAACCUCUCUUUAGCUGCUGAAAUUGCCCGCGAACUCAGCUGGGAGCAACAAAACCAAAACUACUUGAAAUCCAAUACUAAACUUCCAAUUAAGCUACAUACCUUUCAAAAGCUGCAACUCAGCUCUUUCUGGUAUUAAAAUCCCAGAAAAGUCAGUAAAUAUCCUCCUCCCCACGUUCCGAAAGCUUUCCUUGAGUUUCCAAACCAGCGAGUAACGCGCGCGGCGCGAAAUAAGCUCGAAUAGGCGAUUUCUACUCGAGGAGAGAGAAACCCUAGAGAGAGAAAAUGAGGGAGGUGCAAAGCUCUUCCUCUGAGCUCUAGCACGCUCCACAAGGCUCCAGGAGUCGUGCUGGGGGAGAUAAGGAGGGUAUAAGAAGUGAAAUUACCAAAGUAACCUUGCUGCCACGUAUCUGGCACUGCGUACCGGUACACGAUGUGGCUGUACCGGUACAGCAAGCAGAAAAAAAUGCUGAUUCGCCAAAGCAAUGCACUUUCUUGCUUUUAGUCAUCCAAUCACUCUCUAACUCGUACAAAAACUUGUCCAAGCCCUUUAGAAUAUGUAGGGUAGUUUCACAUACCUUUUCCUAUAUUCGAACUUCAUAAUUGACCAAAUUCGAAGCGUUGCAAUUGAUAAUGCAUUUACGAUGCAAUUUUCCAAUUCCAGUUACUUUCUUACUUCAGUAACUUGUCAAAACCUUUCUAAGAUCUGUCAAACGUCAUAGAUCAGUUCCAAAAGCCAUUCCAACCCUUGAACUUGUCAAUAGGCCCAGAUUCAGUAUAUUACACUACCGCAUUUACUGCUUUCAGAUAUAUAUCUAUCUAUCUAUCUGUU